GAGGAAGCGACUUACAGCAUGCCGGGAAAAAGGAGGACUGGGAGGAGGGAGCGACUUACAGCAUACUGGGAAAUAGGAGGAGUGAGAGGGGAAUGGACGCUGGAAGCUGACCCUGAGAGAAAUUAAUAAAUAAAAAUUCAGCAACUUUGGCAGCAUCUGUGGAAAGGGAAACAGAGUUCACUUUGUGAGUCCCAGAAGAAUCAGACCUGCUGAGAUUUUCCAGCAUUUUCUGCUUUUAUUUUAAAUUCCCAGCAUCAGCAGUAUUUUGCUUUCAUUAUUGAGAAAUUAAUUUCUUGGUUUUUUGAUAAUAAAGAAAAAGGAGAAAUUGUGAGGGUGGUUCGAACUGCUGCAAUUCCUCCUUUGCUGAUCCCUUAGAGCCAGAGCUUGGAGUCACACGUUGGGCCUAAAAUAUAAAUGAACUUAAUAUAAAUAUGCAAAUAUAAGUUCAGAAAAUUCUGGAAACUGCAACAUAUAAAGAGGUUUCCAGCAUCUACAGUAUUUUUCCUCCUGUAUUGUCACUGACCCACUUGAUUGAGAAAGACGUUGGGCAUCUGAAAACUAUCCACUCAACGCAAUGAAUUUGCAGCCUGCUAGAUUCAAGAAGUAGAGAAAACAAUUCAUCACACUAAAGAGAGUGCAGACUCAAUGGGCUGAUUGGCCUACUGCGCUUUGAGGAUUCUGUGAUUUUACCCUCUCUAACUCCUUCAUGUCUACACACAAAUGAGCAUGCUGAAUGAAAACGUUAAAAGUGGAAAGCUGAACUCCAGUAGACAGAGGCACGUGCAGACCUGUAACUGAGACUCAAGGAGGAAAACAUGGAAUUCCAGUUGGGACCUACUUGGAUGUGUGUUUCUGUGAACAAGUGCAGUAUAUGCAGCGGGUUGGCAAAUUGAGUUGGAGGAUGUGUCCAUGUGAUACAUUUACUAAGAACCGAGAAUGUUAGAAAUACACAGCUUUUGUACCGAGAAAACGACAUUCGUACCUCCUGGAAUGCUUUCUUUGGCCACUGGGAGAUUGAUGCCGAUUCCAGCAGACUCCCAGCCAUUCAGGAGGGUUCCCAGCCAUAUGGUUCACUGAACAAUGCUUUCUCUGUUUACAUUUAGUGAUGGUGAAUCCCACCCUCUUUUUAUUGCCCUGUGUUCACCGCUCUGAAUCGUUCACUCCAUCACAUUAUCAUGAUCACUGAGCUGCUAAUGAAUGGUAAAAGGAAAUUAAUUAGGACUGUCGAGUGUAUGAUUACUGUGAUACUGAGGGGGUUCCAGCCUCUUGGGAGCAUCGUUCACCAUCAAAUACUCCAUCUGACAAAGAGAGGAACCCUCCCAUUGAGGUGGACCUGCAGACAAUCAGAAUUUGUCAAAGCCAGUCAAGGAAAUAGGAACUAAGUUGGGGUAAACCUGGCAUAAAAGCAGUGAACAGAGCGAAUUUGAAAGAUUUAUUUCAAAAAGUAAUAGUUUGGGUUUUGAAUAAUUGGAGACAUGAUGUGUGGUCAGUGGAGAUCAAAGGAACAGGUGAGUUGGGAUCUAUAUUUCCAAAUCUUUCCCCCACUGGGGCUUUACCUCACGUCAUGUCUCAGUCUGCUGUAGACACAUUGAUAGAGAUUGAUCACUCUGAUUGGUCAACAACUCUAUUAUUGUUGUAACAUCUGACUACCUGAUAGUAGAAGGUGAACUCGAUGGAACUCAGUUUCUAUUGUCCAGUGAAUCCUGUAACAGCAGAAGCUACAAGAGGACAGGAGAGAAGCAGUGGCGGAAGGCAGGCACUACCUGGGGUUAUACAGAGGGCCCUCACCCCACACAGUUACACUGGGACCUUACCCACCAGUGCCUGACAACGUAGAUCCCACCAGAGUUUGUGCCAUCAGUGGGAGGCCAGAGGGGGCAGAUUCUGUGAUGCCGUGGAAUCAACUUGGGUCUCUGCACACACCCUCUGCUUUCCCACCACACUCAGGGCCAGAGAUUGCACCUCCCUUUGGAUUGAGGUGUUGAGGUGGGGAGAGGAUUGAAGCUCAGGUCACUGGCCUGUCACAAAUGUACAUUUUUAAAAUUGGACAUCUUGGGGGAUUAAAGGCCACCUCCCAAGACUGUGGGUGUAGGGGAUGCUGAGGCCCAGUGAUCGCCGCUGGAAUCUGCUACAUUGGCUGCCAGCUCCCAGUGACUGUUCGAUCUGGAUUGGAAUCUCUCCACUUCAACCUGACCCUUGGGAUUUCAUUUCUUUAACAUGGGCUUGGCCAAAGUCAUUUAUAACAUAGUGACCUCACCCUCUUUCCUAUCUCUGGAAUCUCCUCCAGCCCUGCAAUCCUCUGUGAUCUCUGCAUUCCUCUGACUCUGGCCUCUUGUGCAUCCCUAAUUUUAAUCACACCACCAUUGAUGGCCAUUCCUUCAACUGCCUGGGCCCCAAGCUCUGGAAUUCUCUCUCUAAACCUCUUUGCCUCUCUCCCCCUUUAAGAUGCUCCUUAAAACCGACCUCUUUGACCAAGCUUUUGGUCCCCUGUAAUAUCUCCUUACAGUGUCAAAGUUUGGUGUUAAUGUGAAGCACUUGGCAAUAUUUCACUGCAUUAAAGGUGCUAUAUCAAUGCAAAAUGUUAACACAGACUGGAGGUUAACCUCAGUUAGAUUCACAGUUUUAUGCCAUUAUUCACACAGGUAUAUUCUGUUAUUAGGAUCAGGAGUAGGCCAUUCAGCCCCUCUGGUCAUUCUGUUAUACGUGGCUGAUCUGUAUGCCGAGGUUCCACACAAGAGAUUAUUGACAAAACUGGGAAGAGAUGGUAUUAACACAUUGGUUUGGUGAUUGGUUGGGAGCUGGGAGACAGAAAGUAGGAACAGGGUGCUGUUCCUGGCCUAGGAAUGCAGAUGUCCAGAGAACACGGUUUCAAAUCCUAUUACAGCUGUAUGAGAAUUUGAACACAAUUUUUUAAAAACCUGGAAAUAAAACACUAUUCUCA